rnacentral:rRNA from 1 species
UCGGAUACAACGCCGUGAACUUCACCAAGGGCGACGGCAGAAUGAAGGCCAGACUAAAGAUCUUGCCUAACAAGCCGAGAGGUGUUGCAUGGCCAUCGUCAGCUCGUGGCGUGAGUUGUCUGGUUAAGUCCAGCAACGAGCGAGACCCAUACCAUUAAUUGCUACUUUUACCUUUAGUAAGAGGCACCUUAAUGGGACUGCCCGCGUUAAGUGGGAGGAAGGAGUGGGCGACGGUAGGUCAGUAUGGCCCGAAUCCCUUGGGCUACACGCGGCAUACAAUGGCUGGAACAAUGGGUUGCUACUCCGAAAGGAGGCGCUAAUCCCCUAAAUCCAGUCUUAGUUCGGAUUGAGGGUUGAAACUCACCCUCAUGAAGCUGGAAUCCCUAGUAAUCGCGUGUCAUCAUCGCGCGGGAAUACGUCCCCGCUCCUUGCACACACCGCCCGUCAAGUCACCCAAAUGUGGUGUAGGUGAGGC